AAUACUAAGGCCUCCAUAUGUAGCAAAUAUUCUGCCUUAACCCACCAAGGAAGAACAUUGUCAUACGCCAGCUCUACCCAGAAAACAUCUGACUCACAGUCCAUUGUCACAGGUUCAUGAGAUCCCUCGGCAAGUCCUGAUGGAUGCAGAUGAGGAAGUGUGGACAGCAUGAUAGAAGGGGAUAGACUUUGGAGGGCCAAGUGCCAGCAGUGGUCAGAGGAGCAAACCUGAGCCAUGAAGGGAAGGUCCCGCGGGAGAGAUGGACUUUGGCUGGAACUCUAGCAAUGAGGAGAAAGAGAAAGCAAGAAGAGCCAGGCCUGGCAUGCACAGAUCCACUGGUCAGUGAAGGGACAGGCCAGACCCAGGCUGGUAGGUGAUGAAGCAGAUGGGGAGAAGAAAGCUCUUGACCGCACACUCUCCUGCACAAGUCUCUUCAAAUGCAGAGGUGGGUGUUCAGAAUAAAGAUGAUUCGUGCUCCUGUACAAAGGAGGCUCACCUUGAGAAAGCCACUCCUGGGUGUGACCCUGCACUCUCCAGUGGGCAUCCGAAACUUGCCCUGUGAAAUUAAGGCCCUGGGGUGGAGCUAGAGCUGUUCCUGUUUGUUUGUUUGAUGGAACUCACCUGGUUUUCAGGAUGACCUGUGGCUUAAUAAGGAGGCUUUCCCCAGGAACCAAAGGCUACAGGGCAGGGAGAGGGCGGCAAAUCCAGACAGCACGCUGUGUGAAUUCAGGUCUGCCACAUCAUCCUUCUGCAGCCCUGGGCACAAGAGGUGACAUCUCUGAGCCGGCUUCUUUAUCUGAACAAGAAGACAGCCCUGCAGCAUUGCUGUGAGGAUGAAAUCAAGGAGGCAAAUUGACUGCUAAAGUCUCUGAUGCCCAACAGAGAGUUAUUUCCUGAGAACCCGCUGCAGGCCUGGCUCUGUCCAGUGGAGGAUGAGCACUCUGGAGGCAGAUAGGGAAAAUCCAUCGGUGAAAAAGAGAGUUCCCAGCCAGUGCUGAGUGUCCUAGGACUGGAGUGGGGCUGGGGUGAGCAUGCAGUGCUGCUUUUCAUCAGGGGGUCGGCAGGACUGCUCUGAGGAAGGGACGGCUCCCUCAACUUCUGAAAAACAAGGAGGAGGGAGCCAUGCAGUUUCUGGGCAAAGGUGAUAGCUGUUAUUGUUAUAAUACGCAAAGAAAGUGUAAAUUUCAAAGAAAAAAUAACGUGAUCCCAGUGCCCAAGGAAGUGCUGGGAAUUUUUUUUGAAGGAAAGGAAAGAGCAUUUAUUAGACAUCUACCAUGCGCCAGGCUCUGUGCUAGAGGCUUUAUAUAUAUUAUCUCUUUGACAUCCCAACAAGAUAAGCAGAGGCAGCAAUUGUUAAAGGAGGUCACUGGAGCUUGAGAGGGGGAAGGUUAAGCCAAUGGAAAAAUGGAAGUAAUGGCUUUGUAACAGUUGAAUCAAAACUGUUACUCAAUCUCCUCCCCACCACACACACACACACAAACACACACACACACAGCUCUCCCUGGGCAGGGCUGAGCUGGGAGUGUUAAUAAAGGCAACCUGCAGCUACUCCUUGAAGCUCUGACUUCCCUGGAAGGCAGGCAACAGGAGCAGGCUAUUUUAUUCCUAUUUUACAGAUGAGCAAACUGAGGCUCAGAAAUGAACGCUCACCCCAGCAUACAUCUCUAGUUAGGUGCUGCAGCCAUAAGCAAACCAAAGCUCCCCAGAAA
rnacentral:lncRNA from 1 species